rnacentral:rRNA from 1 species
CUGCGAACGGCUCAUUAUAUAAGUUAUCGUUUAUUUGAUAGCACCUUACUACUUGGGUAACCGUGGUAAUUCUAGAGCUAAUACAUGCUGAAAAUCCCGACUUCGGAAGGGAUGUGUUUAUUAGAUUCAAAGCCAACGCCCCUCGGGGCUCACUGGUGAUUCAUGAUAACCUCUCGAAUCGCACGGCCUUGCGCCGGCGAUGGUUCAUUCAAAUUUCUUCCCUAUCAACUUUCGAUGUUUGGGUAGUGGCCAAACAUGGUUGCAACGGGUAACGGAGGGUUAGGGCUCGACCCCGGAGAAGGAGCCUGAGAAACGGCUACUACAUCCAAGGAAGGCAGCAGGCGCGCAAAUUACCCAAUCCCGACACGGGGAGGUAGUGACAAUAAAUACCGAUAUAGGGCUCUUUUGGGUCUUAUAAUUGGAAUGAGUACAAUUUAAAUCCCUUAACGAGGAACAAUUGGAGGGCAAGUCUGGUGCCAGCAGCCGCGGUAAUUCCAGCUCCAAUAGCGUAUAUUAAAGUUGUUGUGGUUAAAAAGCCCGUAGUUGAACCUUGGGCCUGGCUGGCCGGUCCGCCUCACCGCGUGCACUGGUCCGGCCGGGCCUUUCCCCCCGCGGAACCCCAUGCCCUUCGCUGGGCGUGGCGGGGAAACGGGACGUUUACUUUGAAAAAAUUAGAGUGCUCCAGGCAGGCCUAUGCUCGAAUACAUUAGCAUGGAAUAAUGAAAUAGGACGCGCGGUUCUAUUUUGUUGGUUUCUAGGACCGCCGUAAUGAUUGAUAGGGACAGUCGGGGGCGUCAGUAUUCAACCGUCAGAGGUGAAAUUCUUGGACCGGUUGAAGACUAACUACUGCGAAAGCAUUCGCCAAGGAUGUUUUCAUUAAUCAGGGACGAAAGCUAGGGGAUCGAAGACGAUCAGAUACCGUCGUAGUCUUAGCCAUAAACUAUGCCGACUAGGGAUCGGGCGAUGUUAUUCUU